rnacentral:rRNA from 1 species
AUACGGGGGGUGCAAGCGUUAAUCGGAAUUACUGGGCGUAAAGCGCGCGUAGGCGGUUUGCUCAGUCGGAUGUGAAAGCCCAGGGCUCAACCUUGGAACUGCAUACGAUACUGGCAAACUAGAGUGUGUGAGAGGAUAGUGGAAUUUCCGGUGUAGCGGUGAAAUGCGUAGAUAUCGGAAGGAACAUCAGUGGCGAAGGCGACUGUCUGGCUCAACACUGACGCUGAGGUGCGAAAGCGUGGGUAGCAAACAGUAUUAGAAACCCGAGUAGUCC